UUUGGACGGACUCCAUUUCCGGUUGAAAAUAUUCAAAGAAUUUCUUUCUGAUUAUGUGAAUUUUAAGACGACACGAUGGUCAAGUAUAAGCUUAUGUGUUGCAUUUCAUUUGAUUUAAGUUAACAUUACAAUUAUAGGCAUAUAUGAAAGCUGUAUAUACGACGAGAGUACAUUUUUGAGACAUUUCAAUUUUUGUUAUUUUCUCAGCUCGGAUAUCUCAUCUGGACAAAAAAUCUAGCUAGUGGGAAACCAAAGCAGCGGUGUUAUGACUUGAAUUGAUGGAUUGUUUGAAGUGAAGAAAUAAAACACUGAUGAUACUUUUGUUAUAAUUGAUAAAAGAGAUAUGCCCAACCAUGCCAUUUGUUCGCUUGAAGAGAUCUCAAACAUCCAAGUCACUUCCUGUACGAGUGACUACCAUGGAUGCAGAAUUAGAGUUCAAUGUAGAGUACAAAAUCACUGGGAAGGAGCUGUUUGAUCUAGUAUGUCGCACAUUAGGCCUUCGAGAGACUUGGUACUUUGGACUGCAGUAUUUGGAUCGUAAAGGUGGUGUCGCUUGGUUGAAACCAGAUAAAAAGGUUCUAGACCAGGAUGUCCCUACUGAGCGCCCCCUACCUCUCAUAUACCUUGCCAAAUUUUUCCCAGAGAUCGUCGUUGAUGAGUUGAUCCAAGAAAUCACGCAGCAUUUAUUUUUCUUGCAAAUCAAGCAAUCAAUACUCAACAUGGAUAUAUACUGCGCACCUGAGGCAUCAGUUUUGUUAGCAUCUUAUGCAGUACAAGCAAAGUACGGUGACUAUGAUGAGAAUAACUACCAGGGCGAGAUAGUGGCUGAGGAACUUCUACCCCAGAGGGUUAUCGACCAGUACCAGAUGACACCAGAUAUGUGGGAAGAGAGAAUACGCACUUGGUAUGCGGACCACAAGGGAAUGGCCAGAGAUGAAGCAGAAAUGGAAUAUUUGAAAAUAGCAGUAGAUUUAGAGAUGUAUGGCGUGAAUUACUUCCCAAUUCAGAAUAAGCGUGACAGUGAACUCUGGCUUGGAGUAGAUGCCUUGGGGAUGAACAUUUAUGAACUCGAUAAUAAACUCUCGCCAAAAGUGACCUUCCCUUGGGGAGAAAUUAAAAAUAUUAAGUUUAAGGAUAAAAAAUUUACCAUUAAGCCAGUUGACAAGAAGGCACCUGACUUUGUCUUCUUCUCUGACAAGCAUCAAGCGAAUAAACUGAUAUUAGAAUUGUGUGUCGGGAACCAUGAAUUAUAUAUGAGGAGGCGGAAACCAGACUCAAUGGAAAUACAGCAAAUGAAAGCUCAGGCAAAAGAUGAGAAGCUGCGAAAACAGCAAGAGAGAGCAAAGCUAGCAAGGGAGAAACAGUUAAGGGAGGAUGCUCUCAAUGAGAAAGAAGACAUGGAAAGAAAGAUCAAUCACUUACAGGAGGAGGUCAGGCUUGCGCAAGAGGCACUGAUGCGAUCUGAGGAAACUGCUGAAAUCUUAGACGAGAAAAGUCGCCUUGCUGAAGAGGAAACAAAACUAGUCAUGCAAAAGGCCGCGGAAAAGGAAUCUGAGUUGCAGAGGAUAAAGCUUGCAGCCAUGAAGCAAGAAGAAGAAAAAUUAAUGAUGGAACAGCGGGCCCGAGAGGCAGAAAUGAAUGCUCAGAAAAUUGUUGAGGACUAUGAAAGACGUACCUACGAAUAUGAGAAACUCAAAGAUGAACUUUUAAAAGCAAAACUUGCUGAACAGCAAGCUAAAGAAAAUCUUGUAGAAUUGACUCACAGCCCUUACAGUGGCCAAAUCUCAUCUUUAUAUAAUACAAAUAGUGCAAUGACUUACAAUUCCCUGGAUAUUGAUCCUGUAUUGACAUCAGAUGAUAAUGAUAUUCGGCACGACUUUGAGAUUGAGGAAGUGGACAGAUUGUCAUUAGAGUUUGAAAAAUCAAGAGUGGAAUACAUUGAGAAAUCCAAGCUUGUACAAGAGCAGCUUAAAGACUUGAAGAAUGAGAUAGAAGUUUUAAAAGUGGAGGAAAAUCAAACCACACUUGAUAGAAUCCACCAGGAGAAUGUAGAUCAGGGUGUAAACAAAUAUGAAACAUUGAAUAAGAUCAAAAUGGGAACUUGUAGGGCAAGAGUGGCAUACUUUGAGGAAUUAUAGCCCUGGGACUUAAGUCACUGGAAUGUCAAUCAUAAGAAAGUAAAUCACUGGAACUUUAGAAUCU
rnacentral:misc_RNA from 1 species